UGAGAUGGUAGAGGUGAGACAGGAACAGACACAUGAGGAGGUCUGAGAUGAUAGAGGUGAGACAGGAACAGACACAUGAGGAGGUCUGAGAUGGUAGAGGUGAGACAGGAACAGACACAUGAGGAGGUCUGAGAUGGUAGAGGUGAGACAGGAACAGACACAUGAGGAGGUCUGAGAUGGUAGAGGUGAGACAGGAACAGACACAUGAGGAGGUCUGAGAUGGUAGAGGUGAGACAGGAACAGACACAUGAGGAGGUCUGAGAUGAUAGAGGUGAGACAGGAACAGACACAUGAGGAGGUCUGAGAUGGUAGAGGUGAGACAGGAACAGACACAUGAGGAGGUCUGAGAUGGUAGAGGUGAGACAGGAACAGACACAUGAGGAG